rnacentral:lncRNA from 1 species
AUGGACUCAGAUGGGUUCUCAAUCCGAAGACUAGCAUCCUUGGAGUGGACCCCGGGUAGUGGAAAGAGAGCCACUGCUGACACUGACAUGCGGCACUACUAGCCAAGGAAUGCCAAGGGUCCCAGCCACUCCUUUCAGAAGUUAGGAAGGAGACUCCAGGGGUUCUUUCCCAGAGCCUCCAGAGCUAACCAAGAAUAAACAUCUGUUGCUUUAAGCCACCUACUUUGUGGAAUUUGGUUACAGAAGCCUAGGAAACUAAUAUGUCCACAAAAUCUAAACAAAAGUGUUGCUGACCUCGGCACACAGGACUGUCCCCCUGAAGAAAACCACACAGAUAGGCCAUGGAGGCCAUCUCAACCUGGCAAUGCUGGGCCCCAGGAAAGGCAGAGAAAUGGAACAGCAGGAAGUCAGUGACUGGAAGUCAGUUUCAUACCACAUGAGGCUGAGGACCAAGAUGAGGCCGGAGGUGGUGUGUGCUGGCUCUCAGUUGGUGAGGAAUGAUGCUCUGUCGCUAAGCCUGGACUUGGUGUGCUGAGAAUGCCACCCCUUACUGAGUCUAGAAGCCACGGCUGCCAUAACUGCAGAUCCAGCACAGGACUUUCAUCAUCUUUGAACUCAAAGACACUCAAAAAAUGCUGAUUCAUUACCUGACAUUUAUUUUAUUAAUGAGGAAGAUUUAAAGAAGAUGGGUUUUUGAUGAAUUUCUGUUACAUUAGAUUACAAGAUCUUUAUUGCUGGUGCUCUAAUGAAUAUAAAAAUACAACCUGUUGCUAAUAAAGUGCCUCUUUUUCCAUAGCCACUCAAUUUUUGUGUUAUUUGAGUGUAUUUGACUCUCAAGACUAGAUUUAAAUU